GGUGAGUAACACGUGGGUAACCUGCCCAUAAGACUGGGAUAACUCCGGGAAACCGGGGCUAAUACCGGAUAACAUUUUGAACCGCAUGGUUCGAAAUUGAAAGGCGGCUUCGGCUGUCACUUAUGGAUGGACCCGCGUCGCAUUAGCUAGUUGGUGAGGUAACGGCUCACCAAGGCAACGAUGCGUACCCGACCUGAGAGGGUGAUCGGCCACAGUGGGACUGAGACACGGCCCACACUCCUACGGGAGGCAGCAGUAGGGAAUCUUCCGCAGUGGAAAAAAGUCUGACAGAACAACCCCGCGUGAGUGAUGAAGGCUUUCGGGUCGUAAAACUCUGUUGUUAGGGAAGAACAAGUGCUAGUUGAAUAAGCUGGCACCUUGACGGUACCUAACCAGAAAGCCACGGCUAACUACGUGCCA
rnacentral:rRNA from 1 species